GACGAACGCUGGCGGCGUGCUUAACACAUGCAAGUCGAACGGAAAGGCCCUGCUUUUGUGGGGUGCUCGAGUGGCGAACGGGUGAGUAACACGUGAGUAACCUGCCCUUGACUUUGGGAUAACUUCAGGAAACUGGGGCUAAUACCGGAUCGGAGCUCCUGCUGCAUGGUGGGGGUUGGAACGUUUCGGCGGUUGGGGAUGGACUCGCGGCUUAUCAGCUUGUUGGUUGGGUAGUGGCUUACCAAGGCUUUGACGGGUCGCCGGCAUGAGAGGGUGACCGGCCACAUUAGGACUGAGAGACGGCCCAGACUCCUACGGGAGGCAGCAGUGGGGAAUAUUGCACAAUGGGCGGAAGCCUGAUGCAGCAACGCCGCGUGCGGGAUGACGGCCUUCGGGUUGUAAACCGCUUUCGCCUGUGACGAAGCGUGAGUGACGGUAAUGGAUAAAGAAGCACCGGCUAACUACGUG
rnacentral:rRNA from 1 species